rnacentral:rRNA from 1 species
UACGGGGGGGGCAAGCGUUGUUCGGAAUUACUGGGCGUAAAGGGCGCGUAGGCGGUUUGCUAAGUUGGAUGUGAAAACUCUGGGCUUAACCCAGAGCCUGCAUCCAAAACUGGCUAACUUGAGUACUGGAGGGGAGAGCGGAAUUCCUGGUGUAGCGGUGAAAUGCGUAGAUAUCUGGAGGAACACCGGUGGCGAAGGCGGCAUCCUGGACCGACACUGACGCUGAGGAGCGAAAGCCAGGGGAGCAAACGGG